rnacentral:tRNA from 1 species
AAAGGUAUAGCUCAGUGGUAGAGUACCUGCUUAGCAUGCAUGAGGUCCUGGGUUCAAUCCCCAGUACCUCUA